GAUGAAGAACGUAGCGAAAUGCGAAAAGUAGUGUGAAUUGCAGAAUUCAGUGAAUCAUCGAAUCUUUGAACGCACAUUGCGCCCCUUGGUAUUCCAUGGGGCAUGCCUGUUCGAGCGUCAUUUUGUACCCUCAAGCACUGCUUGGUGUUGGGCGUUUGUCCUGCAGAGGACUCGCCUGAAAGCGAUUGGCGGCCAACGUAGUCGUGGCAGAGCGCAGCACAAUCUCGCGUCUCUCCCCUCUGCGUCGGCGUCCAUGAAGCCCACAAUCUCAACGUUUGACCCCGGCUCAGGUAGGGAUACCCGCUGAACUUAAGCAUAUCAAUAAGCGGAGGA
rnacentral:misc_RNA from 1 species